ACAAGAAGGAAGCAGAAGUAUAGCAGAGUCAAUGCAAUGAUGAAGUUGGAACUUGUGAAAUCAUUUCAAAUCAUGUAUCUGCAUGCACCCUCUUAAUUUCCUUCCUCAUUGUCCACAUGUAAGUGAUUGGUUGGCAGUGAGUAUAUAAAGACCAGUGUGCUUCACAGCUGAAUCAAACUCUUCAUCAGUCAUGGACAAAAGUGUGCUGCUGGUGCUGUUGUGUCUGCAGGUUUUCCUGCUCAUCACAGCCUUCACUUCCUUCUGAUGCAGCCGCUCUACAGAAAGAGGAUCAACAACAACCGUUUCCUGACCGGGUGAAGGUGGGAGGAACUGAGGAAGAAGGAAGAAGACCAUUGCCACCCGGCUGCUGGUUAAGACCAGGUGGAUGUUCACCCUUCGGAAAGUUCCCAGUUACACCAAACCCUCCACUGACGGCUUUGGACAUAAAGACGUAAAUGUGCUUCAUAUUUUGGGGAUAAAUAUAUUAUUAGCAUAGAUCAAGAUCUGUGUUGUUUUCUUGCAAUAUAGUCAAAUAAAAAAGUGACUGUUAAGGUAAACAAAAUGUAAACAUGUAUAACACUUUCUAAAUGUAAUCAAUGUAGAUUAACUGAUUACAUUCUGGUGAUGUUGUAAAUGCUCCACUACACACAUAUUGAUAUGUUUUAUCUUGCUCUACAUCUCAGUGACUUUUCUCCUUUUUCUUCUACAUCCGUGAUAAGAAGAAAACCAAAGAAGCCGCACUGCAGAAAUUAAGACAGACAUGAAAACCUGCAUCUUCUCUUCAAGGAAGCUGUUCUAUUUUGCUUUGCUAAUUGCAUUUUUUGGUGACAAAAGUCAAUCAUUGCAUGAGCUCAGCAUUGUGAAAGCCACAAUGCUUUGUUUUGUUUACUCAUUAUGAAUAUAAAUUUACUAUAUUACUGUUUAAUUUCAGUUUAUUAUUUUGCUGUUAAAUGUUGUUAAAUGAAAAAAAUAAAAUUUCUCAAUUUUAUGCUUAGACUCAUUGUGUUUUUA
rnacentral:lncRNA from 1 species